UCAGUCUGAUGAAGAUUGGCAUCAGGUGAAGUCUGGAGCAGGACUUCUGAGGCUUUCUAUCCUCCAUGCUGCUCACUAGAAAAGGGGCUGUGAACUGUCUCCUCGGCAGCUGCUGAGCUGCAGAAUUUAUGGAAGCCCUUCACGCUUUGUGACAGACUGCUAAUGAAAGAGAGGCCAGGCUUCUGCGUCUGCCUUCUUUGGUUUCUAAUUUGUCCAGGGAUUCUAUCCCCAAGUGGGGGCAAGCGACUUGGAAGCCAGGGGGGCCACACAGAGCCCUGCAGCCUGUCAGCAGGGCUUGGCUUGAAAGGCCCCUGCUGAGGGCCACCCAGGGGGCAGAGGGUUGCUCCCAGCUCCAAGUACCUGCCAGGGAUGUGAAACAUGCUCUGGGAUUAAUGGGAACCAGAUGGGCAGGACAGCCCCUCCACCUGGCCUCCACCGGAGAAAUGCUCAGAUUUCUGGCAUUGUGCUGAAGCUUUUCUUAGGAGUUCUCUGAGACUGUUUUUUCGCUCCAGGCCACAUGC
rnacentral:lncRNA from 1 species